CCCGGGGAGCUGUGAGCGAGCCGGGGACAUUGAGACAGAUGAAGGGUCAGAAAUGUGUGCUGAGAAGCGUCUCCUCUGGGUCUCCUUCACCCGCGUGCGCUCGACCCGCGCCAGCCUUUCAUUCUAAUCUGAUGAUAAUGAUAUUUGCUCAGGACGACCUCUGCUUGCACAGUUUUCUACAUUGGCGGCUGUCACUGUUGAGCUCGGCCUUCAGCACAUCGUCAAAGAUGGCGUUCAGCAGGAUCAUCUUAUUUAGAUAUUGUUAGCUUCCUUUCUGUGUGGCCACCUGUUU